UAUCCAACCAAUUCACAAGUUAAAGAUAUCAAUAAUUUAACAUUCACAACACCAACAUCCAUGGAUUACAGUAAAAAGCAAAAGGCUCGCACGAGAUUCUGAAGAACAAGAAAUAUUCAAUUCAGCUACAACCUUUAACUCAGCGAUCGAGUGCUACAAAAUCAAUCACCCAUUGAGAAGCGGUUCGUUCUGCGAGCAUGUGUGGUAGAGCCUCAGCCCCUGAGUGCCGUCGCACUGGAGCAGUAGCGCUGUUCUCUUGCGUCAACUCGGCAACCGGCUCAGUGGCUCGCCCUCCUUAAGGGCAUAUCCCCCUUGCGGCGUUAGAAAAUGGUUUUUCCAUCGAGUGGCGAUGCGGCGCAUUAGCUCGCCCUCCUCCUCGAGGGCAUAUUCCCCCCUGUGGCGUUAGGAAAUGUUUUUCCAUCGAGUGGCGCCGCGGCACAGCUCCGGCAGCUGCGGCUCCCAUCAGCAGCGCCUGUUCCCUCCAAACUAAAAAUGAACGGGCGUUAGAACGACACACGACACCCAUCGGGGUUAUCUGCAAAAGCAUGUUUAAGUGGACAUGUGAUCUUUCACCAUAUACAUUGCCGAUUGAAGGCUCCAUGAAAAUUAUGCUUAGCUGCCUACACAAAUUGAUAGUCUGGCUUAAAAGUUACAACUAUAACUUAGCUUAUUGUUUGGCUUACAAGUUACAACUAUAACUUAGCUUAUCAAUUAAACUAACAGUUCACAAAAAACCAAGCUAAGUACACUGCCAUAUUUUAAUCAAUAAAUUUUGUCAGCGGAUAUCCACUGGUUGACCCAGCCCUCUGUAUACACGACCUAGUCUUCCCCCCUCUCUGCGCACUAGGCGCACGAUCUCCACCUGUGCACGACUGCACAACGGCUGUACUCUGAAACUGUAUAUAUGCAGAGCUAAUGCAUCGGCAUGCACUACGGUGCAUUGCAUUCUCCCGUUCCCUGCUCACAUGGUAUCAGAUGCUCUCUAUCUCCUGAGCCCGUAACUCCUCUUCCGCUGCCCUUCUGCACCGCACUCCUCUCGCCAUGGCCGCACCACCUCCAUCUCCCCCUCCCCCUCCGGUCAGCCAUGGACCGACCACCCCCCCUUCGGGCCCCAGCCACCUCCACCCCCCUGCUCACCCCGUCCGCGCUAGCCAACUCCACGCGCGGCGGCGCCCUCUUCCCUCGUGAGCCUGACAGCACUUCAUCUGCUGCGAUGGCCGCCCUCGCAUCACCUCUGGCCGGGAUCUUCAUCAACCAACAUGUCCCGCUUGUGCUCACCCUGACGCCGCCAAACUACACCCAGUGGCGCACCCUCUUUGAGGUUAUGUUCGCCAAGAGCGGCGUCACCGACCACAUCGUCGACCCACCUCGCGCGGCGGCGCCGUACUGGCUCCAAGACGACGCACACAUUGUGUCAUGGCUGUACAACCGGGUCAGCCCGGAAAUCUUCGGCCUUGUUCACCAACGGAACGCCACCGCUGCACAGCUCUGGGCCUCCAUCGCCACCCUGUUCCUGGAGAACGCCGAGCAUCAGGCCGUCUUCCUCGCUACGGAGUUCCGCCGGAUCGAGCAGGGGUCCUCCUCUGUCAUUGCCUACUUCGCCCGCCUGAAAGACUGUGCUGACCGCCUGGCCGACCUCGGCGAGCCCGUGACUGACCGGGACCAGGUACUCAACAUGUUCCGUGGUCUCGCUCCUCGUCUCCACUACGCCAUCCCGAUUCUCACCAUGCAGCGGCCUCUUCCCACCUUCCUUGCUUGCCGCGCCUUUCUGCUUCUGGAGGAGAGCCGUCACGCUGCACAAGGCGCCGGCUCCACCGACAUGGCCCUCCACGCCGCGCGCUCGCCAGCCUCUGGUGGCUUGGGUGGCAGCAGCUCCGGCGGGGGCGGCCGCUCCAACAACAACAACAGCGGCGGCGGCCGCUACAAGGGCAAGGGCAAGGCCCCUGCCAACUACGGCGGGGGCAGCGGCGGCAACUCCGGCGGGGGCUCCUACCACAACACCUCGUCGUCGCGCCCUCCUACGCCAUCCUCGGCGCCCUGGACCGGCAUGGUUCAUGCCUGGGCGAUGCCAUGGCGUCCCCAUGCCCCGGGCUCUGGCAUCCUGGGUGCGCGUCCCGACGCGCCUCCACCGUUCGUGGGUACCGCGGCCGACUACCCGACGGCGCCGCCCUACGGCUCCCCUGCACCCUACGCGUCGGCGCCGCCCUACGGCUCCCCUGCACCCUACGCGUCGGCGCCACCCUACAACGCGCCUGCCGCGCCGUCGUGGGACCAGAAGGCCCUCAUCCAUGCCUUGAACAGCAUGUCCAUGCAGGAGCCCGCCCCGCCGACCUCCGCUGGCAGCGAGUGGUACCUCGACACAGGCGCGACGUCACACAUGGCCUCGUCCUCAGGUAUGCUCGCAUCCUCUCACCCCACUGCUCUCUCCCACAUAGUUUUUGGCGACGGAUCGUCCUUGCCUGUCACACACUCCGGCCACCAGAUCCUUCCCACUACAUCUUCUCCACUCUCCCUCCGAAAUGUUCUUGUCUGCCCAAAUAUAAUCAAAAAUCUCAUCUCUGUUAAAACCCUCGCUCACGAUAAUCCCGUUAAUGUUGAGUUUGAUGACCUCGGUUUUUCUGUCAAGGAACGGCGCACAAAGAAGGUGAUCCUCCGAUGUGAUGACGACGGCGAGCUCUACUCCGUCACCACAACUCCCAUGCACCACAGCCUUGUCGCCGCCACCGUGGAUCUCUGGCACCAACGUCUCGGUCACCCGGGGCGCGAUGCCUUGGCGACCACUCUGCGGCAAGCAUCGCCUUCUACAGUCGCUGCACCUGCCCACACCUGUCAUGCCUGUCAAUUAGGGAAGAACACCAGACUACCGUUUACAGUUUCGCAACAUGUAUCCUACUUUCCUUUUCAGCUAGUUCAUUGUGAUGUGUGGACCUCGCCUGUACAAAGUUUAUCUGGAUACAAAUACUACCUAGUUGUGCUCGAUGAUUAUAGUCACUUUGUCUGGACAUUCCCUCUUCGUGCUAAAUCUGAAGUUCUCCCCACCUUACUCACCUUUCAAACCCUCGUCUCUCGCCACUUUAACCUAAACAUUCAACACUUCAAACAGAUAAUGGGCGCGAAUUCGACAAUCACUCCAGCCGCGAGUUCUUCUCCACACACGGCAUUGCUCUACGCAUGUCGUGUCCUUACACCAGCCCACAAAAUGGCCGCGCCGAGCGUAUCUUACGAACCCUAAACGACACUGUUCGUAGCCUCCUAAUCCACGCCUCCAUGCCAUUUUCCUUCUGGGUAGAAGCACUGAACACCGCCACCUUCGUUCUCAACAGACGUCCAUGUCGCCCGCGCCACAAUCUCACUCCGUUCUACCUGCUCUACGGUGCCCACCCAGACUACACAAACAUGCGCGUGUUUGGAUGCCUAUGCUACCCUAACACCACGGCCACUGCUGCUCAUAAACUCGCUCCCCGAUCGGCACCAUGUGUUUUUCUCGGCUACUCGCCGGACCACAAAGGGUACCGUUGCUACAACCGAUCGACCGGUCGAGUUCUCACUUCACGGCACGUCUUCUUCAACGAGAGCUCUUUCCCCUACCGCACCACUGAACCCACACCACCCGCGUCGGCUGAUGAUGAUGACAACUAUCAGUCACCGAGUCCUCCAGAUCGUUGGACCGUGCGUAGUGCCUCACCAGCUACCAGUGUGGCCACGGCCAACCCCCCUGCGCCCUCGACGCCUCAGUGCCAGUCACCACCAGCACUCCACCCCUGCCGAUCACCCACCCCAUCUACCUCCCCGCACACACCUCCGAGCAACGACAACCCAUCGCCAACCCCGUCACCCCCUCCGCCUCCCGCCAAACCCACGCAAUCCCACGCGCCCCCCGUGCCCACACACCGCAUGGUCACCCGUGGUAUGAAUGGCAUCUUCCAGCCCAACCCCAAGUAUGCACUCCAAGCUCACGUAACCAUCAUUUCCCCCAUAACCAAAUCCGUGCGCACGGCAUUGCGCGAUCCGUUUUGGCUAACAGCUAUGCAGGAGGAGUACAGGGCGUUGAUGGCGAACAACACAUGGACGCUAGUGCCGCGCCCACCCGGUGCCAACAUUGUCACUGGGAAGUGGCUAUUCCGGCACAAGCUCAAGGCCGAUGGCUCACUGGAACGAUACAAAGCCAGGUGGGUGGUCCGCAGCUUCUCACAACGACCGGGCGUGGACUUUGACGAAACCUUCAACCUUGUCGUCAAGUCUGCUACCGUUCGUGCCGUGCUCGCCAUUGCCGCGUCGCGAGACUGGCCCGUCCAUCAAAUGGACGUGAAUAAUGCCUUUCUUCAUGGGCAGCUGGCCGAGCGCGUCUACUGUCAACAACCUGCCGGCUUCGUCGACCACGACCACCCCGACUUCGUCUGCCUCCUCGACAAGUCUCUGUAUGGCCUCAAGCAGGCUCCCCGUGCCUGGUUCGACCGGUUCGCCGCGUUCCUGCGCACGGUCGGCUUCACGGCGGCGCGCUCCGACCCGUCGCUGUUCGUGUACCACUCCGAUGGCGGCAUGGCGUACCUCCUCCUGUACGUCGACGACAUCGUGCUCACUGCCUCGUCGCGCUGUCUUCUACAACACAUCCAGCAACGCCUCUUCUCCGAGUUCUCGAUGAAGGACCUCGGUCCGCUCAACUACUUCCUCGGCAUCAGCGUCACGCGCAGCAGCUCUGGCUUCUUCCUGUCGCAGCGCAAAUACGCGGAGGAGCUCCUGGACCGCGCCAACAUGAACACGUGCAAGGCCUCGCCGACGCCCGUGGACACUCGUGCCAAGCUGUCUGCAUCCGAUGGCUCUCCUGUUGCGGAUUCCUCGGAGUACAGAAGCCUGGUCGGGGCUCUCCAGUACCUCACCAUGAUUCGCCCCGACCUCGCCUAUGCUGUCCAGCAAGCAUGCCUACAUAUGCAUGAUCCGCGGGACCAGCACUUGGCGCUCGUCAAGCGCAUACUGCGGUACCUGCGGGGGACGACGACGCACGGUCUACACCUACAUCGCUCGCAGGCCCUCGACCUCGUCGCCUAUUCGGAUGCCGACUGGGCCGGUUGCCCGGACACGCGACAUUCCACCUCCGGCUACACCGUCUUCCUCGGCGAUGCCCUGAUCUCUUAGUCCUCAAAGCGUCAAGCCACGGUGUCCAGAUCAAGUGCGGAGGCCGAAUAUCGUGAUGUCGCCAACGUGGUUGCCGAGUGUUGCUGGCUCAGGCAACUUCCGGGAGAGCUGCGCGUCGACGUCCCCAAGGCCACGGUCGUGUACUGUGACAACAUCUCCAGUGUCUACAUGGCGGCCAACCCUGCUCAUCACCGGCGUACCAAGCACAUCGAACUCGACAUACAUUUUGUUCGGGAGAAGGUGGCACUUGGCGAGCUUCGUGUUCUACACGUCCCAACCACGCAGCAGUUCGCCGACGUGAUGACAAAGGGGUUACCUACAGCUGCAUUUGAAGAAUUUCGGUCCAGCUUGUGCAUCCGACCACCGGACGCUCAAACUGCGGCGGGGUGUCAGCGGAUAUCCACUGGUUGACCCAGCCCUCUGUAUACACGACCUAGUCUUCCCCCCUCUCUGGCACUAGGCGCACGAUCUCCACCUGUGCACGACUGCACAACGGCUGUACUCUGAAACUGUAUAUAUGCAGAGCUAAUGCAUCGGCAUGCACUACAGUGCAUUGCAUUCUCCUGUUCCCUGCUCACAAAUUUGAAGCAACACAUAUGCUUGAAUCGACUAAUUCGAGAAACAUCAGGUAAUUAUAAAGUACAGGCUCCAAAUUAGCUACUAGAAAUUAACUUCUCCUUAAAUAAUUCUUAGAAACUAACUGUUCAUGAUGUAACUUUGAUAGAGGACAAAUUUAAUAGAUUGCGGUACUGCUAUCAAACGAAUGCCUACUUGAAAAACAAUGUAAGCAUUUAAUUUGUUGCCAGAAAUUUGUGUGAACCUGUCUUUUGGAGUGGAGGCCCAGCCGGACUCUCUCCCAGUGUUAGCGCCUACUGCUCGGAGCGGCGAGCUUCAAUCAGUGGACAUCGGAAGAGC
rnacentral:lncRNA from 1 species